rnacentral:rRNA from 1 species
UACAGAGGUCUCAAGCGUUGUUCGGAUUCAUUGGGCGUAAAGGGUGCGUAGGUGGCGCUGUAAGUCGGGUGUGAAAUUUCGGAGCUUAACUCCGAAACUGCAUUCGAUACUGCGGUGCUUGAGGACUGGAGAGGAGACUGGAAUUCAUGGUGUAGCAGUGAAAUGCGUAGAGAUCAGGAAGAACAUCGGUGGCGAAGGCGCUCUGCUGGACCGUAACUGACACUCAGGGACGAAAGCUAGGGGAGCGAAUGGG